ACUGAGGGGAAGCCGCGCCGGCGGCCACUGGCGCAGCCCGUUCGCAGCGCUCCAUGGUCGGGGAUGACCACUGUGGGGGCGGACAUGCGCCGCAUGGGGAGGCCGUUGUCGCUGCCGCCCGCGUCGGGGAGAGAGGGAGAGGGAGCGAGCGAGAAGAGGGAGCAGAGGAUGGGGGAGAGAGGGAGAUGGAGCGGAGGAUGGGGAGGAGGGUCGCCGCCGCGCCGAGGGAC
rnacentral:lncRNA from 1 species